CCCAGCUAACAAGUAGUGCGAGUUAUUUUUAUCUUCAACCUGAUGUUGGUGUUUUGAGUCUAAAUAUUCCUUUAGUACGGGGAGAUUCAAGAAAAAUUUACGAAUGCUGAGUUAAAAGAAUGUCAACUAAUAUGAAAGAUAUCGAGACAAUACCGACUACAGUCCCAGAAGGCACCCCAUUACCCAUAGAAGCACAGUCAGUCGAAAACUUUGGUUCCUGGGUUCCCACUCCAAGUAAAUCAUCAUCGUCAGGCCGAUUUGCCCAGAUUGAGGUUAUCCCGUGCAAGGUGUGCGGGGACAAGUCAUCGGGCGUUCAUUAUGGCGUUAUCACAUGUGAAGGCUGUAAGGGUUUCUUCCGGAGGAGUCAGUCCGGUCCAGUUAACUACCAAUGUCCUCGAAACAAGAACUGUGUAAUAGACAGGGUCAACCGGAACCGGUGCCAGUACUGUCGACUACAGAAGUGUAUAGCACUGGGCAUGUCCAGAGAUGCUGUGAAGUUUGGUCGAAUGUCAAAGAAACAGAGAGAGAAAGUUGAAGAUGAAGCUAAUAUGGUGAAACAAGGGCGUCUGAAUGGGUAUGAUGGUCUUCAAACUCCAUUUCCAACAAACAACAACAUUAACAACAUCAACAACAACAACAACAAUCAUCAGUUUGUGACGUUAUCGAGUCCCCAGUACGGGUAUCAGAGCAACGGCUACACCUACGCAACAAUAUCCGACCCACAGCCCGCACAGCAGGAGUUCCCAACAUGUACAAACAACGGCAGCUUUACUUCCACUACCACCACCACCACCACCACUACCACCACGCCACCACAUCCAGUCGCUCUGCUCCGAGCCAUAGACCUCAUGGACCCCGUAUCAUUUGGCAAGGCGGUGAUGGAGGCCCACAUGAGGACAUGUUUAUACAACAAUGACCAAAUAGAGACCCUGAAACAGAGACCAGCAACAGCAGAACAGGUGGUCGCCUACAAGAGUAUGACUCAUCGCCAGCUGUGGAUCGAGAUGGCCGAGAAGAUCACGCUUGCGGUACAACAGAUAAUUGAGUUUGCCAAGAUGGUCCCUGGUUUCAUGGAUCUGUCCCAGGACGACCAGAUCAUGCUGUUGAAAGCAGGGAGUUUUGAGCUGGCUCUGAUGCAGGUGUGUCGUGUGUACGAUAGUGCAUCCGAUAGCGUUAUAUUCGGCAAUAACUUCGUACCUUUAGAUGCCUUUUCAGUUCUCAGUGCAGAAGAGUCAAUACUGAUGAGGAGCAUCUUUGAAUUUGUAAAGAUUAUUCAAGACCUGAAAAUAACAGACAGCGAGCUGGCUCUCCUCAGUGCUCUGAUUUUAAUAAGUUCAGAUCGACCAGGUUUGAAAGACACAACUGAUAUCCAAAAACUACAUGAAAAAAUUUUGACAGCUCUGAAAUUAGAAAUUGGCGCCAACCACCACGAUGAUCAUGAAUUGCUUUCGAAGUUGUUGACACAAACCCCCAUUUUGCGGACAUUUUCUCUACACCAUAUUCGUGCUCUCAAUAGGUUUCGAGAGACUGCUGCUGAUGUAGAGUUCCCUGCCCUUCACAAAGAACUCUUCUCUGUGGAGACCAUAGAAUCAUCAUGAGAGAACUUCAGAUUCUAGGGAUGUGUUAAUUUUUCAAAGAUUCUGGUUGGAUGAUUUGUGUGACCUGACACUCCCUCUUCCAUAAAUGGAAUCUGCCAAAGCUGAGGCUGGAAGAGUUCAUCCAUGAUUUCAAGGGGUGUUGGAUAGAACAUAAUGAAAUACAUUUGAUUGUUCCAGAAUUCUGGGAAUGGAAGAGAAUUUUCCGCAUGUGCUUUGACAGAGGUCAGAGGUUGUUGCAAUGUGAUUAUUCAAAGUUGUUUUUCUUCCUUUUUUUUUUUUUCAAAAUGAAUAGCGUUUUACCACCAUCAUAGUGUAUAUUACAUAAUUCCUCCAUGCAUGUUGUGUGCUGUACCUAUCACACGUUUCACAUAUAUCGCCACCGUAUCACACGUGUGAGUGGACAAUACGAGCAGCACGGAGUCCUAUAGAUCUAGAUCUUGUAUAAUCGGGUUAUAUAUACUGUAUAGUUCUAUAUUCAUCCAUUAUCAUCCUACGAGAGUUACCAUUAUGUAGGUUAGUGUCUAAUUCUGAAAAUUUGAAUAUCGGUCAAAUUCCAGAAUCGCUCCUUAUGAUUGAAACAUUUCAGAAAUCACCAGCGAUUCCUCACAUGUGUUACGUCUAAUUAUCCCUUACCUCAAUCUUGAAUGGAUCCGUUACCAAAUCUGUUCUUUUCAUUGUAAACUUUAUUCACUCCUCAUUGUAAUAUCUUAUUUUCCCGCGCUGUUAAAAGACAGUUUCAGUGAGUUGUAGAGUGGUUGGAAUGCAACCAUUGCAGAUUUUUGUAAAAAUCAAGUUUCUGUUGAAUAUGUGCUUCAGAAAUAGUAAAAAUUCUUCAGCUGAAGGUUUGUGUGGGUCUGUAUUUUUUUAUAAUUUACAACGUUCGACAUAUUAAGAGCCUAAGCCAGGAGAAAAUGAGUGUCUUAUUUCAGCUGAUCCUGGUAUGUUGGUUCGGGUUGUUCUUUCAAUUUUUAAAAUAAUUGUUUUGUCAAAAUGGUAAUUUGCAGUAUUUGGGGUAUAAGCGUUUUUAGAAUGACAUUGUUGAAGAUUAAAAGUGAUGACUUUCUAUCUAUAGUGAACUGUAAUUAAAUUAAAAUAUUGAAAUAUUAUGGUGAAACUUGAAAAACACCCGAAAUUUAAUGAUGAUUAUUCAGAUAAAGGUCAAACAGGAAAUUUGAAAUAUAUAUUCUUUUUUGCACCUAAAGCCAUAAUGAACAUUUAAAAACUCGGAUUUCUCUGAUCUCUCUCUGUUUUGAAGACUUAUAAGAAGACAGGUUCAAGGUUGAGUAUCCAUAAAGUGGAAAGGGCAUGGGGUAGCCU
rnacentral:misc_RNA from 1 species